rnacentral:lncRNA from 10 species
CAGAAGGAUUUGCCACAGGGCACCACAACAACUUCUCUGCCAUUCAGAGUCACAGCUGCACAGGGCCAGCCCCUCAUGGCUGUAAUCCCUUGCUCUAGUAAAUAAUUCUUUAUAUUGAAUUUUCUCUGUUCAAAUUACUACGUGAUUUCUCUCUCCGGACUGGACUCAGACUGAUACAAGUAUGGACCCCCUAGAAGGAACAACAAAUGGAGCUGCCGUCUAUAUACACACGUCGAUUUAGGUCUCUGUCUCUGGCAACUGAAAAGAGACCCAACAAAACAUCUUACAGAGCACCAGGGCCAAUUCUUGAUGCGUCGUUAGAUUCUGUGUAGCCAGAAAGCAGAAACAGAAACAUAUCCAAGCCAGGCGGAGGAAAAACUUUGAGGCCUGUUUAUCCAGGUUCAAGACAAUUUCUAUUUAAAAAAAAAAAAAAGAAAAAAAGAGAGAAAAAAAAAGCUCAUAACAGAAUAAGUUCAGCUUCUCCUGAGUGUCAGAGCUAAGAUCUAACGCCUCUGCUGGUUUCCAUGACAACCACCAGCAGCUACAAUCAUGCCGAACCAAGAACCAGAGGAUUCAGUAACUUUAC